rnacentral:rRNA from 1 species
UACGAAGGGGGCUAGCGUUGUUCGGAAUUACUGGGCGUAAAGCGCGCGUAGGCGGUGAUCUUUGUCAGAGGUGAAAGCCCAGAGCUCAACUCUGGAAUUGCCUUUGAGACUGGGUGGCUUGAGUACGAGAGAGGUGAGUGGAAUUCCCAGUGUAGAGGUGAAAUUCGUAGAUAUUGGGAAGAACACCGGUGGCGAAGGCGGCUCACUGGCUCAUUUCUGACGCUCAGGCGCGACAGCGUGGGGAUCAAACAGG